AACGAACGCUGGCGGCGUGCCUAACACAUGCAAGUCGAGCGCGAAAAGGGCAACCUGAGUAGAGCGGCGCACGGGUGCGUAACACGUGGGUAAUCUGCCUUAGAGUCGAGGAUAACCUUCCGAAAGGUUGGCUAAUACUCGGUAAGCUUACGGUGUCUUCGGACGCUGUGGGAAAAGUAGGCCUCUGUUUACAAGCUUACGCUCUGAGAUGAGCCCGCGGCCCAUCAGCUAGUUGGCGGUGUAACGGACCACCAAGGCAACGACGGGUAGCUGGUCUGAGAGGACGAUCGGUCACACUGGAACUGGGACACGGUCCAGACUCCUACGGGAGGCAGCAGUGGGGAAUUUUCCACAAUGGGCGAAAGCCUGAUGGAGCAACGCCGCGUGUGUGAUGAAGGUUUUCGGAUCGUAAAGCACUUUCGACCGGGACGAAAAACCUCUGGCUAACAUCCAGGGGCCUGACGGUACCGGGAGAAGAAGCACCGGCUAACUCUGUGCCAGCCGCCGCCGUAA
rnacentral:rRNA from 1 species